GCCCGGUUAGCUCAGUCGGUAGAGCGUGAGACUUUUAAGUCUGAUAAUCUCAAUGUCAGGGGUUCGAGCCCCCUAUCGGGCG